AUUGAACACUAGCGGGAUGCCUUACACAUGCAAGUCGAACGGAGUGGCGAACGGGUGAGUAAUGUAUCGGAACGUGCCCAGUAGCGGGGGAUAACUACGCGAAAGCGUAGCUAAUACCGCAUACUCUUGGAGCGGCCAAUAUUGGAUUAGCUAAUUGGUGGGGUAACGGCUCACAAGGGCGACGAUCCGUAGCCGGUUUGAGAGGACGACCAGCCACACCGGGACUGAGACACGGCCCAGACUCCUACGGGAGGCAGCAGUGGGGAAUUUGGGACAAUGGGGGAAACCCUGAUCCAGCCAUCCCGCGUGUGCGAUGAAGGCCUUCGGGUUGUAAAGCACUUUUGGCAGGAAAGCGGUACCUGCAGAAUAAGCACCGGCUAACUACGUGCCAGCAGCCGCGGUAAUUC
rnacentral:rRNA from 1 species